rnacentral:rRNA from 1 species
GAUGAACGCUGGCGGCGUGCCUAAUACAUGCAAGUCGAGCGAAUGGAUUAAGAGCUUGCUCUUAUGAAGUUAGCGGCGGACGGGUGAGUAACACGUGAGUAACCCGCCCAUAAGACUGGGAUAACUCCGGGAAACCGGGGCUACUACCGGAUAACAUUUUGAACCGCAUGGUUCGAAAUUGAAAGGCGGCUUCGGCUGUCACUUAUGGAUGGACCAGGGUCGCAUUAGCUCGUUGGUGAGGUAACGGCUCAACAAGGCAACGAUGCGUAGCCGACCUGGGAGGGUGAUCGGCCACACUGGGACUGAGACACGGCCCAGACUCCUACGGGAGGCAGCAGUAGGGAAUCUUCCGCAAUGGACGAAAGUCUGACGGAGCAACGCCGCGUGAGUGAUGAAGGCUUUCGGGUCGUAAAACUCUGUUGUUAGGGAAGAACAAGUGCUAGUUGAAUAAGCUGGCACCUUGACGGUACCUAACCAGAAAGCCACGGCUAACUACGUGCCAGCCGCCGCCGUAA